AAAAAAAAAAAAAUUCCGAAGGUUUGCCCCGAAACCCUGAUUCUUUCUGGCACACAACACUUGCCGUUCACUUCUUCUGCAGAGAGUUAGAGGCCAUUGCUGCUACAGUUGCUGACAUGGCAGGCCCCCAAGCCCAAUGGGAGUUCAGCUGUGACUUGGAAGUGGACUAUGAGUCUGAGGAGAAUGCUUCCAUGGUCUAUGCAGCAUUAGCUGUUGAUAAGGAGUUGCAGCCAGACAAAGUGAAAAGGCAGAUGUCAGUGUCUAACGGAAAGCUUAUAGUGUGAGCUUCCUUCCUUUAAGAAUUAUCAACUGAAAACAUCUUCAUU